rnacentral:tRNA from 1 species
GAUUAGAAAGCGAAUUAUUGCACUUAGUUUCGACCUAAAACUUGGCUAUCUAAGCCUCUAAUUU